rnacentral:rRNA from 1 species
CUUGGUCAUUUAGAGGAAGUAAAAGUCGUAACAAGGUUUCCGUAGGUGAACCUGCGGAAGGAUCAUUACAAAAAUUCUCGGUGGCGCGGCCGGUUACGGCCCGCGCCCCCGCUGGAAGCGCCGGGAGGCGUCUAACAGCGUAACCCUUUGUGAAAUCCCCCUGUUGCUUCGGCAGCCCCUCCCAGGAGCGGUAAGCCUGCCGUCAGCAUCACGGAAACUCAAUCUGAAAACUUGCACCCCUGUCUGAACGGCGCAGUCGAAUGACUAUAAAACUUUCAACAACGGAUCUCUUGGUUCCCGCAUCGAUGAAGAACGCAGCGAAACGCGAUAGUUAAUGUGAAUUGCAGAAUCCAGUGAAUCAUCGAGUCUUUGAACGCACAUUGCGCCUCCUGGCAUUCCGGGAGGCACGUCCGUUUGAGCGUCAGCUUAAUAACUCCGGGCGGCAGCAUUUUUUGCACCGACGCCCGGGCCUUUGGCGAGGGGAAGUGACCGUGGCGCUUUGGCACCUCGGGUUUCUACCGCUUAAACAUGGAGAAAGCUAGCCGGCGACGCCCCAACUGCAACGACUCGUAGGAUUUCCAACGUCGUAAUGCCCUUGGAGCUCUCGGCCUCUAAAACAGUGGGGACUCAGGUGCCCCAGAUGUUUGACCUCAAAUCGGAUGAGGAUACCCGCUGAACUUAAGCAUAUCAAUAAGCGGAGGA